rnacentral:rRNA from 1 species
GUAGGUGGCGAGCGUUGUCCGGAUUUACUGGGUGUAAAGGGCGCGUAGGCGGAUUUGCAAGUCAGAUGUGAAAUACCGGGGCUUAACUCCGGAACUGCAUUUGAAACUGUAGACCUUGAGUGUCGGAGAGGAAAGCGGAAUUCCUAGUGUAGCGGUGAAAUGCGUAGAUAUUAGGAGGAACACCAGUGGCGAAGGCGGCUUUCUGGACGGUAACUGACGCUGAGGCGCGAAAGUGUGGGUAGCAAA